rnacentral:rRNA from 1 species
AUUGAACGCUGGCGGCAUGCUUUACACAUGCAAGUCGAACGGUAACAGGCCGCAAGGUGCUGACGAGUGGCGAACGGGUGAGUAAUGCAUCGGAACGUGCCCAGUCGUGGGGGAUAACUACUCGAAAGAGUAGCUAAUACCGCAUACGAUCUAUGGAUGAAAGCGGGGGCCCGUAAGGCCUCGCGCGAUUGGAGCGGCCGAUGUCAGAUUAGGUAGUUGGUGGGGUAAAGGCUCACCAAGCCAACGAUCUGUAGCUGGUCUGAGAGGACGACCAGCCACACUGGGACUGAGACACGGCCCAGACUCCUACGGGAGGCAGCAGUGGGGAAUUUUGGACAAUGGGCGCAAGCCUGAUCCAGCAAUGCCGCGUGCAGGAAGAAGGCCUUCGGGUUGUAAACUGCUUUUGUACGGAACGAAACGGCUCUGGUUAAUACCCGGGGCUAAUGACGGUACCGUAAGAAUAAGCACCGGCUAACUACGUG